rnacentral:rRNA from 1 species
GCACCUGAAAUCAAGUAAGAUCACCCGCUGGACUUAAGCAUAUUACUAAGCGGAGGAGAAGAAAUUAACUAAGAUUGCCUCAGUAAGUGAGACUGAACCGGCAAAAGCUCAAAAUUAAAAUCGGAAAUUCAAAGAAUUUCCGAAUUGUAAUCAGGGUACCCAAAAUACGUGGAGUUAGUCAAGUGGAUCGAAAGCCACGCCAAAGAGGGUAAAAGCCCCGUGCACUAAUUUCACGAACGCGGGAACUCGAAAAAGAGUCGUGUUGCUUGGAACUGCAGCACUAAGUGGG